UACGAAGGGGGCUAGCGUUGUUCGGAAUCACUGGGCGUAAAGCGCACGUAGGCGGAUUGUUAAGUCGGGGGUGAAAUCCUGAGGCUCAACCUCAGAACUGCCUUCGAUACUGGCAAUCUCGAGUCCGGAAGAGGUUGGUGGAACAGCUAGUGUAGAGGUGAAAUUCGUAGAUAUUAGCUAGAACACCAGUGGCGAAGGCGGCCAACUGGUCCGGUACUGACGCUGAGGUGCAAAAGCGUGGGGAGCAAACAGG
rnacentral:rRNA from 1 species